GGGUCUGUAGCUCAGCUUGGUUAGAGCGCACCCCUGAUAAGGGUGAGGUCGGUGAUUCGAGUUCACCCAGACCCACCA
rnacentral:tRNA from 1 species